rnacentral:rRNA from 1 species
GUGCAGCAGGCGCGAAAACUUUACAAUGUGCGAAAGCACGAUAAGGGAACUCUGAGUGCCUCCUAAGGAGGCUGUUCAGGUGUCUAAAAAGCACCUGGAGUAAGGGCUGGGUAAGACCGGUGCCAGCCGCCGCGGUAACACCGGCAGCCCAGGUGGUAGCCACUUUUAUUGGGUCUAAAGCGUCCGUAGCCGGUUGAGUAAGUUCCUUGGGAAAUUUGGCUGCUCAACAGUCAAGCUUCCAGGGAAUACUGCUCGACUUGGGGACUGGGAGAGGUCAGAGGUACUCCGAGGGGUAGGGUGAAAUCCAUUAAUCCCGUGGGGGACCACCGGUAGCGAAGGCGUCUGACCAGACCAGGUCCGACGGUGAGGGACGAAGGCUAGGGUCG